CCGCCCCGGCAGAGCCAGAUAGAGGGGACACAGGGAACAAGCUAACUCCCCAGACUCCCCCCAGCUGCCUUUCAUAGUCACAGCAGUGCUGAGCUGAAUAAGAAGAUUUAGCCGAAAGGGGGCGGGGCUACACGGCACUGUACACAGUGCCAAUCCAGCAAGCAGCAUGGGAGACAGAAGCUCACUGUGUAGCAGCAGAAGACCCUAAACACAGCACAGGACACCACCACUGUGAAUGGACUGAUGCAGCACAAGACACCACCACUGGACUGAUGCAGCACAAGGCAGCACUGUUAUGACACAUAAUAGUAGGUCGCCAGCCCACGUGCCUCACCACUUUCCAGCACAGACACUGAGGAGACACGUCCUCUCUCUACACUCUCCAGGACUGGAGUGAAGAUGGCGAUGACGCGUGGCUCCUUAUAUGGAAUCCAAACCCUGUGAGAAUCCGACAGCGGGACAAUGACGUUUUGCCUCGUUCUGGUUUCCGAGUCUGGCGGGAAAACCCGAGCAGGACUCAGAUCCGGACUUGGAGCGUGAAGUUCGGGGGCUUUGGUUCUCAGGGAACUGAACCCGCUCAUCCCUAUUUCAAUCCUAUUUGCAAGUGUACCUAGAAGAAUUCAUGCUGUGAUGCUGUUUUGAAGGCAAAGUAAACAAAAUAAACUAUUAACAUUUCUAUUUUUGAAAGCAUUUUUACUUUGCAGCAUUUUUUCUGCACCUGCCUAAAACUUGUAUAUAUCUGCUGUGACAAUAAAGUUCUAUGUGGAGAUGAUGUAGGGUGAAACAGAAACACACUAGGAGGUAUGUGGUCUUUUGGAAACAAUGCAUGAUCAUGUAAUUUAGUAGGUCCAGUCAUGUUAGUGGGAUUUCUAAUAUGUUAACACACCAUUUUUUCCCCUAAUUAUCUAUCUAUCUAUCUAUCUAUCUAUCUAUCUAUCUAUCUAUCUAUCUAUCUAUCUAUCUAUUUCCUAAUCACACACUGUAUUUCUGUUAUACUGUAUAUGUGUAGAUUAUAUGUAUAUAUGUAUAUAAUUGAGAAAUUCCCACUCCUGGGAUGUAUUUUAUUGCAUUAAUUGUGUUCUGAAUAACAUAAUAUUACAUUUGUUAGACGUUCCAAUAUUCUGGUCACUGUGUACAAUGUUUUCACUUAUUUUGGGCUUACCUUGAAAAAGACCAGGGGAGGAUCGGAACACGUGGCUGCCUUGCGGAACCCCCAAGAGUGAGUGCAUUUUACCAAUUCGACAUAUGCGGCUGGACUGAAACCAUGAGGGAGACCCAGGACUGCAGCCGGGAGUUGCCUAUAUGGCUUUCACGCUUUAUGACCUGACCGUUGCCGGUUCUUACCACAGGCUGGUAAUUUGCUAUUUUUUCGGUCAUCUUUGGAUUCAGUGUAUGAUUGAUUACCAGUUUUUCUGUGAUAUGUAGGAUCUUAUAUAGAAUGUUUAUAUGGAAUAUUUGUCUGUCAUUGUUUUUAACCAUUGUUUAACUUUUUUUUUUAGAAUUUAUAAUAAAUGGUAUCACACUAUAUAUACUUUUCCUUUGUUUUUCUGAGUUACUCCCCAUUAAGUGUCUGCUGUGAGGAAGUUGUUCCAUUAUGAGGAGUUGGCAUAUGACUCAGAAAUUGGGAAAAUGAAUCACCUGAAGCCCGUGAUGCAACUUUUCCUUUCAAGAAGAUUGGAGUAUGAAUGAUCCAAGGAUACAGGCAGUCUGCAGUUUUUCAAAGAAGUCAGUAAAAGAUUGCUAAAAAUUACAUUAUGCCUUUCAUCACAUUCAGAAAAAGAGUGGCCCGCUGCCAAUCUGAAAAGAAAUCCAUGGCUUGAGUAGAUCAUUGACGUGAAAAAGAUGUUUAAUAAAAGUAUUAGGAGAUCAGGCAGAAUAAAAA